rnacentral:rRNA from 1 species
GACGAACGCUGGCGGCGUGCUUAACACAUGCAGGUCGAACGGAAGGCCCUGCUUUUGUGGGGUGCUCGAGUGGCGAACGGGUGAGUAACACGUGAGUAACCUGCCCUUGACUUUGGGAUAACUUCAGGAAACUGGGGCUAAUACCGGAUAGGAGCUCCUGCUGCAUGGUGGGGGUUGGAAAGUUUCGGCGGUUGGGGAUGGACUCGCGGCUUAUCAGCUUGUCGGUGGGGUAGUGGCUUACCAAGGCUUUGACGGGUAGCCGGCCUGAGAGGGUGACCGGCCACAUUGGGACUGAGAUACGGCCCAGACUCCUACGGGAGGCAGCAGUGGGGAAUAUUGCACAAUGGGCGGAAGCCUGAUGCAGCAACGCCGCGUGCGGGAUGACGGCCUUCGGGUUGUAAACCGCUUUCGCCUGUGACGAAGCGUGAGUGACGGUAAUGGGUAAAGAAGCACCGGCUAACUACGUG